rnacentral:lncRNA from 1 species
CUGGAGCGAGGUCCCUGCUUAGCCGUGUGUUUCCAGACAAGUUUAUUUGGCUGAAGUGGCACCUGAGCGGGACACAAGGUGUUGCUCCAUCUCUUCUGUGUAUGCCGGGGGUACCGAGACCAGCUUCAUGCUAUGCGACCAGGUCCACUGCGAAGUCCAACACUCUGAACCCUCCUGGAUGUCAGAGAGUCACACCAAGCUCCUGGGACAGAGAAGAGAGGAGGAAAUUUCCGGGUUCUUCAAGGCAGUCUUGGCCAUGCAGGAAAGAAAGCAGCCUUGCAGAUAAGUAUUCAAAUUUACCCGCCUGUGGCCCAUCCGUCUGCCCUUGGCCAGGGCUCUUUGCCCUUGCAGUCAAGUGGGGACCUCAGCACUGUUGCCUGUGAGACACAUUCCUCUCAAGUAGAGGCUCCAAGUGUGUCUGUCUCUAGCUUUGGCCAGGUGCUGACAGCAAGCCCUGACGGUAUGUUCAGAGGGUCCCUAACUGCCUGGCUUCCGUCUGCAGGCUGAUGAAGAUAGCACAGCUGACCCAAAGCAAACCUGGGUUAGGAUCCAUAGGCAGCCUCUGGCCUUCUCCAGACUGGUGUGUGGGCUGGUCUCCAAAGACCCCUAACCCACCCUCCUUUGGAGUCCCCCAGUCUCCUCGAGUGCAUGGGGUGCCAGGAGAGGGGUGGGGAGGGUAAGGCGGGGCACAAAGUUCCCUCCUGUCUUCCACCUAGUGCCUCAGUCAAGUGACAGUCACUAUUGUGCACUGCAAGGGUCCCAGGGCCCAGAGACAGGCACAGACACAGGCUUCCUAGGGCCGCAGCACGGCAAAUGCAGAGCUGGGACAGAACUGCACAUUCCUGCCUCUCUGCCCAGUGCUCUCACUGGGCAGUUCCCAAGCUGCCUAGCUUGGCCUGCUUCUUCUGGGCUCACAGUCUGCUGCUGGGGAACAGGGAGGUUGCUGGGGCAGGGGUGGGUGUGGUUCUCUCCUGCGGCCUGGGUGGCUCUUCUGUCUUCCAGGAUGGCCCUGUGUGGGGUCUCUGCACAGAAGGAACCAGGCCUGGGUAUCACCAUGUUGGCUGGAUGCUGCGGCGGACACUGGGAUCCAGCGCUGAACACCAGACAUGCGGUCCCCUUCUCUUGCAUCUUCAUGUAGGAGCACACUUCCUCACAGCUGGGCGAGGAGGCCACGUUGCCCCCGCACAUCCCCAGGACUCUGGCUUGCUCCGCUCUGGGGCACUGGGUGAAUGGACUUUGGCUGCAGGAACCCGGGAGCAGCCCUCGGUGGUCCCAUCUCUGAAGACCUCGCCCUUCCAGUGCCCGUGGGAAGUCUUCUGA